UGGCUCCUGCUCUGUUGCCCGCCUGCUGUGUGCCUGACGAGAUAAACAAAUCUCUUCCAGCAGGGGUGCGGCUCCAGUGACAGCCUGUAAUCCAGGAACGGCUGAACCAGUCCAUCUUCCACCUCGUAUGAGGAAUACUUGCAUUUAAGGGCUUUAUUCCUGGCGUUUCAGAGCUGCCACGGUUUUCUUAAUGGACUCGGUGGACUCUUCCUGAAAGUCCAUCACAAAUGUGCUAAGGAGGUUCCAAGAUCACUGUUCUAUAGAAAAAUCAAUCCUCUGAUGUCAGAAAACAUGGCCCACAGUGGAGAGGAAGUUGGCUGCAGAGCGUCAGGCCGAGUUUCUUACCUUUACCUCAGAGUGACGCAGAUAAGGAGAUCUGAGCUGUGAGAUUUCAGAUUUACACAGAUUUUGAAAUUCCAUUGACAGGGGGUGUGAGAUUGGUAAGAAUUCCUUCUCUGUGUCUGAUGAAGUUAUGGAAAAGCCCUUCCCUGGAGGUUCUGUCUGGAGAAGGCUCUGGGGGGACUUCUCAGGCAUCAGCCCUGCCUUGCCCCUGUAAAGACCGGAGGGGUCCGCU
rnacentral:lncRNA from 1 species